UACGUAGGGUGCGAGCGUUAAUCGGAAUUACUGGGCGUAAAGCGUGCGUAGACGGUUAUCUAAGUCGGAUGUGAAAGCCCCGGGCUCAACCUGGGAAUUGCAUUCGAGACUGAAUAGCUAGGGUGCGGAAGAGGGAAGCGGAAUUUCCGGUGUAGCGGUGAAAUGCGUAGAUAUCGGAAGGAACAUCAGUGGCGAAAGCGACGUACUGGACCUCUUCUGACGCUGAGGCGCGAAAGCUAGGGGAGCAACGGG
rnacentral:rRNA from 1 species